GGUUAAGUCCUAUAACGAGCGAAACCCUUUUACKUAAUUGCCAGCACGKAAUGGUGGGAACKUUAAGUARACUGCCCGUGUAAGCGGGAGGAAGGAGAGGAUGAGGUCAAGUCAUCAUGGCCUUUAUGCCCAGGGCUACACACGUACUACRAUGGCAUGUACAAAAGGAAGCUACUUGGUAACAAGAUGCAAAUCUCAAAAGCAUGUCUCAGUUCGGAUUGAGGUCUGCAAUUCGACCUCAUGAAGUUGGAAUCGCUAGUAAUCGCGUAUCAGCAAUGACGCGGUGAAUACGUUCUCGGACCUUGUACACACCGCCCAUCAAGCCAUGGGAGUUGGUAGAGCUUGAARACAGUG
rnacentral:rRNA from 1 species